GUCGCCCCUGCACUUGGAAGCCUUGGAAUUGUCCGGAGUUGAAGGCCAAUCCCUUUUCCCCAAGUAUCUGUAGCCGACCGGAAUGGAAUAAUUUUUUUUUUUUCUCUCAAAUCCCUCCGGCGGGGAAUGGAAUAAUCCUAUGAUAAGGACCAAUCUUUUUUUCCCACACACCUCCUGUUAGAGCGAAUGGACUAAGUCUGUUGCUGUGCUAAAUCUCUUUUGCUCAUACCCGUCCACCGGGACGGAAUGGAAUAGUCCGGUGCUGAUGACAAAUCUCUUUUAUCCACACACCUGCAGCAGACAUGAAUGUAAUAGUUUCAUGUUAAAGACCAGUAUUUUCCCCCUGCGGAGUUGGAAAUGGAAUAAUCCCACUGGGCGGGAGGGGUGGGGAUGAGGCUGUGUGUUCUAGACGAGACGCACGCGCAAUGGGAAGGCUGAGGCUGGAGGUAAGAGGAGGUUGUGGAGAUUUAGGAAGCUGGGCGGGGACACUUGAAGUGGAAACUGGAAUCUGGGAGGUAGCGGCUCCCUCAGCUUGUCGGGUCCCAGGCUGGGCAGAUUUAUCCGGCGGAAAGUUGAAGAAGAGCAUCCUGUGAGCCGGCUCUGACCGGGGCCGUAGAUGCGAAGCAGACUACGCCCUUGUUUCCAGCACAGCCUUGGCAGACAUCUUUGAGGAGAGCGACUCAUACAGAGCAGGAACUUGGCUGUCCAUAUUGUCGCCAGCACCAGCAGGCACUGAUGGGGCAGACAAAUGGGAUUCGCUGAAGUGCAAGCCAAGUGGCGUGUGUCAGGCAAGUCAAACCUCCUCCUCCUCUCAGAGUCCCCAGGAGGUCAGCCUCUCCCUCCUUGUCCUGGUUCUCCCUCCCACUUCCUUCCCUGCUUCCAGAUCAGCCCUUUCAGAUACCACUGAGGGGAGUCAUCUGUGACCAUCUUCUGUCCCUGAAAGCACAUGGCUCACCUGCCAUCCAACCACCAGUGAUGGGCAGGUAAGCCUGAGGUGUGGGACAGCGGCUUUUAUCAGGCCACCAGCCUUGUUUCCAAGUCAGAGUCCAGGGAAGCAUCCUCUGCAAGUGUUACUGUUGACCUGGAAGAGAAUCUUCUCACAAGCACAGGUCUUAGCACUGUGAAGUGGCUCAAUAAGAGGAAUUGAUGAGAUUUUAUCAGUGGAAAUGAGAGUCAAGAAGAUACAUAACUAUUUGCUUUGCUGCUUGCACACAUGGCUGACGUGCAGCUGUAACCUCAGAUUUGUGAUCUUUCUCUUGUCAGAAUGUGAGCUUCUUGAGAGCAGAUUCUGUUUUGUUUUUCUAUUUGUAUCCUCAGCUCCUAGCACAUUGCUUUACACAGUUAUUGCUCAAUAAAAUACUUUUUCAUUCAUUCAUUCAUUCA